rnacentral:pre_miRNA from 1 species
GGGGGAAGACAUGGGUAUGGGGGGAUUGGGAAGGAAUAUCCAUAAGCAAAAUAUGUUAUUUCUUCCCUACACCUCCCAUACCACUGUUUUUCCUC